rnacentral:rRNA from 1 species
AUUGAACGCUGGCGGCAGGCCUAACACAUGCAAGUCGAACGAGUGGCGGACGGGUGAGUAAUGUCUGGGAAACUGCCUGAUGGAGGGGGAUAACUACUGGAAACGGUAGCUAAUACCGCAUACCAUCAGAUGUGCCCAGAUGGGAUUAGCUAGUAGGUGGGGUAACGGCUCACCUAGGCGACGAGCCCUAGCUGGUCUGAGAGGAUGACAAGCCACACUGGAACUGAGACACGGUCCGUCCUCCUACGGUAGGCAGCAGGGGGGAAUAUUGGACAAUGGUCUAAAGCCUGAUGCAGCCAUGCCGCGUGUAUGAAGAAGGCCGUCGGGGUGUAAAGUACUUUCAGCGGGGAGGCGUUACCCGCAGAAGAAGCACCGGCUAACUCCGUGCCAGCCGCCGCGGUAAUAC